UGCGUCCUCAUGCAUACGAGUCAGAUUCAUUUCCACUGAGCCACGACAGGAACUCUCUAAAUAUAUUUGUUAAUAAACCAAUGGUUCGNGCCAGGGAUCGAACUUGCGUCCUCAUGCAUACGAGUCAGAUUCAUUUCCACUGAGCCACGGCAGGAACUCCCUAAAUAUAUUUGUUAAUAAACCAGUGGUUCUCCAGACUUUUCAGCAUACUGAGUGCUAAAGCAAACAAGAGGUAAUUGCUCCUUAUUUUUAGAACAGUAGCUUUACACUGUAUGUAGCUGUUGCAAAUUACAUAUUUAAAUUAUAUUGCAUGUCUUUUUUGGUAAUAGAUUUUGUUUUAUGAAUUUGUGUCAAAACAGAAAUAAUACUUUGAAAUAAAUUUGCUUUUUAAUCCUUCGUCUGUGAAUACCUAAAUUUUGCAGUGAAGAAUUUAAAAAGCUGCAAGGAUAUUCCUAUUUGAAAUGUAAAAUAAGUGACUUAGAUUCAAUAAUUAGGAAUUUUCUUGGCACUGUUAAACUUCAAUUUUUAAUGCUAUUUUAUUCUUGCAGAUUCUUCUCAAAAUAUGUUGGUGGCUUGAGCGAUGUCAUUACCAAGUGGUGAUCUAUACAGAAGCUCACAUCAGCUCAUGUGGAGCUGCCUCCUUCGGGGGUGAGAGUCAAGACUGCCAUGUGACACUCCUGAGUUCAUCUUGCUCCCACAUCUUGACUGGGUGUGGCUCAUCAGGCAUCUCAGCUGCUCUCCCAGGCUCCUCAGCUCCUUUUGAAUCAGGCAAGGUCAACCAAAGCAUAGAAGAGCCAGUGUGUGGACCUUCCAGCUGUGUCCUCCCUUGCUGGGGAGUUUGAGAAGGACACUGUUCCAGGGAGUGGAGCCUUAAUCAGCCUGAAUCCCUGGCCUGCAUGGAACAGAUUCCCCUGCCAGACUCCAGGAGACCUGCAGCGGGAAGGAGGAGUAUUGUGUGUUAACGUAAGAGAUUUCAGAGCUGUUUGUCACAGCAGCAGCACAAAGCCUAUCCUGGCUAUUACACAGAGUGACACUUCCCUGAGCCUCUGUUUCCUCAUCCAUAAAGUAAGAAUGAUACUCAUCUUUAAUGAUAAUUGGUGGUAAGUAAGAUGAUAGAUAAGCUGUCUGGGGGUCUUGGCUCCUGGAUCCCAUGCCUCCUCGAAAGGAGAGGAAUGUUGCCAUGUGCCGAGGUCAAAGCCAGAGGCAUUUGCUUGGCCAAUACUAAUGGUUGGAAUUUUUACAGUGCUGAACAAGGAGUUUAAAGGCUGAGCCCACCUGGGGAUGGGUAAGGUCCAUGGAAUGCUGGAGGCCUGGGC
rnacentral:lncRNA from 1 species